rnacentral:rRNA from 1 species
UACGGAGGGGGCUAGCGUUGUUCGGAAUUACUGGGCGUAAAGCGUGUGUAGGCGGCUACGUAAGUCGGAUGUGAAAGCCCCGGGCUCAACCCGGGAAGUGCACUCGAUACUGCGUAGCUUGAGUACCGGAGAGGUUGGUGGAAUUCUCGGUGUAGAGGUGAAAUUCGUAGAUAUCGAGAGGAACACCGGUGGCGAAGGCGGCCAACUGGACGAGUACUGACGCUGAGACACGAAAGCGUGGGGAGCAAACAGG